rnacentral:antisense_RNA from 1 species
GCCGCCACCUCGCCCUGCCUGGGCGGGGUUGGGACCUUUCUGGCACCUGCGUCGAAGCCGGCGGCAGGAUGGACUUUGUUGUCCCGGUCCCAGACCAGCCUCCUCCACCGUCGCCUCCCACUGCAAAAAGGCCUGGAUAAGGAACCUAAUUCGAGCUACCCUUCUCUGUGAAGCUCGACGGCUGAGAACGUCAGGGCUCGUUCCCAAGUCUCUUUCCAGAGGCCAGGCUUUAUGGGAGCAUGGGUUACCAGCGACGCACCCUGUGAGGAUGCAGUGUCCAAGGCACCAUCUUGAACUCAUCAUCGCCAAAUAUGUGAGCACCUUGAUGUUGGACUUCCCAACCUCCAGACCCUGACAGGACUUCCACACCCAUGCUCCUCUCGGCACCUUUCACCCAGCCCAAGCAGCGGCGGCCCAGUGGUGGAAAAGGUGCCACGGCCAAACGGAUUGGAGACUCACCCCGCAUUCUAGGCCGGAGAAGCGGGCGGGCUUGGGAUGCCGGCAGGAGGCAAUGACUCUCCCCAGGCGCUGCAUCCUGGCUCCGGGGCACAAGCGCCUCUCCGCCCUGACGCUGAUGCUCGUCUGGCUGCCCGUUCUUUGGCAUCAAAAUACCAGACGAUGGUGGCGCACCCUGUGGCCUGGGCUGCCUCACCUCAUUCGGUCCCGCCUAGAAAGACCAGAGGACCAGAAAACCAGAAGCCUGUCAGAGCGACUAGAGGCUGGCUCCAGCCAACAGCCGCGCGCCUCAGCGUCCACGAGGGUUACCUGGGUAACGCGCCGCUUGGGCUCGGCGCCCAGCCGAUGACGUAACCCGCGCUUGCGUAGUGGCGCCGCCCUGAUGUGUAGUCUCCAGGCCGCCACCCCCGAACACCAGCCC